ACCAGAUUGGUGUAACGGUUAACAUCCCGCGUUUUCAAGGUAUCUUGAACAACCGCGGAGCUCGGGGUUCGACUCCCCGAUUUGGUG